AAAAAAACAAUAGGCAAUAUUCUCAUGGAAAAGUGGGUAAAUGUUCAUACACAGCACAGAUCAUAAUGAGCGAGCGUGUUUUUUAAAAUAAAGUUUGAUGACGCUUGAUGAUGACGUUGAUCCGCGACCAUGGUGUGCUGUAGUCCGUUUAUAGCCUACCGUUAGCAUUUUAUAUCUGACGGCUUUAUUUACGCUUCAAAAUUCAUAACUUUUGGAGUAAUUUGAAAAGACUAUCUUGAUAGACAAAACGUGUAAGGGUCAUAACUCUUUGUUGAACACCGAUCUUAUUUUUUGCGAUUUUCCAAAUGUGUAUGGGAAAAAUGCAUGGCUUUUCGAUCGAGGGAACCCAUGCGCCGCUAACUUCCGGGUUGGCCUACAAAGUGACAUAGUAUACAUGCCAGACCAGCAUGUGGCGCUGUAGUUCUGCCACAGAGAUACACUUUGACAUGGAUUUGCUGAUAAACCUUGCGCGUGGUACACAAACGAACAUGGAACAAUACAUUUAUUAAUCCGUGUUAAUGUUAGUUAAUAAAAAAUAAAAUCGUUCAGUGUUUGUUCAUGUUUUUGUUGCUGUUACGUGAGGUGUUUGACUAGGGGCGAGACGUGGGCUGAUGACGUCAUAUUUUCGUCCAGACGAAACAAAGGUGGCGUUUUCAAAUAUAUCCACUCUGGGAUCCGGUUUGAAAACAUCAGUUUCACUCUUCCAAAACGCCAGAUCCGUGUGGACGAAAAUGCCUAUCCGCUAAAAAAUUUGUGCGCCGAGGAAAAAAUAAAAAUCUCGGACACCCUAUCAAACGUCAUUGGAUAGUGCAGGGAGGAGGAAGAGGAGGACGAUGAUGAGGCACGUCAUGACAGGCCUUCAAAGAACAAGGUACACCAGCAGUCUGCAUCCAGUGUGUUUUACUACAUUGCAAUACCACGGAGCCCCGCACGUCACCUGUAAAGAGAAAAAAAAUCAAUCCAUGACGGUUUUGCAAUCCGUCCCCUCAGUUUAUAAAUCGUACUCACGAAUUCAUAAACUUACCACCCUCUAAGAAAAAGGUAGCCUAAAUGAUGACAUCCAGUGUGUGGUGUAUUACAUACAUACCUUACAUGAAAUACAAGAUGUGGAAGUUUCAUGUUUUAAAGGACAAAUGCAUUUCAACCUCUGGCGCAGUAACAACAUCACUCUUCCUCUCAAUGAGUUUGAAUGAGAGGGGGGAGUUCACAGGAGUGAUGAUGUCACUGCGCCAGAGGUCGAAGUGCUGCAAACUAAGUGCUCUUCCACCAUACAAUAUAGUUCUCAUUUUUUAUCCCCUUAAAAAAAUCCCCACGUUUUAUUCUGUGCCCCUAUACUUACUGGUGUAACUACUCAUGUAACAAUCUUUAAAUAGGGAAAACAUGGAAGUGUUUGGUGACUUCUAAAUUCAUCCCUGUGUGGAUCCUAAGGAAUGAAUGGGCUAGACUAAAUGCUAACACAUUCACGAUGCACUGCACGCAUUGAAAAUAGACAGGGAUUUAUAAUUUCAUCUAAGUUGAGGUAAGAACAUAGUAAAAAUUGAAAAAACGGUGUAGCUUUCCUUUAAGUAGGGAAAAACCACCAGGAGGCCAACAACAUUUACAUAUCGCCAAGUGGAGGGAUUUCUGCCCUAGACUUCUUGUCACCUUCCUCUUACACCUCUCGUAACAUCCUCCCAGCCAAUCAGAAUCAACCUUUUACAAAAGAAGUUAUAUAACAAUUAGCUGUUGUUCUUCUCUCUGUCUCUUUCUCGUAGACAGCUGCUGAAUUUAGAAAACACCUGGACGAACAGAUGUGGGAGAGAAGGAAACUCAACCAAAUUUGAGAAAUGAAGUCCAUUCUCUUAAAAAUGAAAAUGCACGUCUGAAAGACAUUAUCAUCAAUCGUAAGUAUUCCUAAUAUUUAUUAGCAGGGUUAUUCACAACCAGGUUUCCUCUUCAGAGCCGUAUCAAUGGGCUUUGGAGGGUUGUAGCUUGCAUUCACAGCUGCAGGAAAUGUCUUUCGAAGAGUAAGGGCACAGAGUUGCUGGGUACUAGUUAGAUCCUGUGAUUGUAAGUAUUGUUUUUUUGUUUUGUUUUUUUGAUAGUAGUGGUAAUAUGUAAUUUACUUGCCCCAUAUGCAUAAAAUUGUUAGAGUUUAACAGUGUUUUUCUUCUCUAACAAGACUGCAGCUGAGGCCUCAGUGAAAACACAGGUGAAUAACAUAUGUAGUAAGGAUGGGUAUAAACCCUGUGCUUUGUAGAAGCCAAUUAGUGUUAUAAGUGACAAUCAUCCUUUCCUCCUGCCCCCCUUCAAGAAAACAUGAUGUGUAUAUAAAAAACUCUUGCUUUCUCCACCUUCAUUUUACCCCCCCGUUCAUAAUAAUUUUGAAAUAUUACUUUAAGGUGGGAACCUUAACCAGAGGGGAUGGGGAGCAGCUGGUUGCCCUUGACAAAAUUAAAAAGGCAGCCAUUAUUGGCAUCAAUGGAGACUGCAGAAGAUACUACAUUGAAGAAGUGGCCGGCAGCCAGCCGAGGGCAGAUAGACAUCUAUUCAUUCGAAGCUCACGGAGCUGAGAAGAGCAACAAGAUAAUAUGUUUUUUUCUGUUCAGUUUUUUGUAUUAUUUUUGUUCUUGUACUAUUUGAUUGUUCUUGUAAAUACAUAAUGUACAUUUCUAUAUUUUUUACUUAUAUUUAUGUUGCCUAGCAGGUUUUUUGUCUUAUUUUUGUUCUUGUACUAUAUUUUUUUGUUUUGUACUAUUUGAUUGAGCUUGAGUAAAUAAAUAAUGUACAUUUCUACAUUUUGGACUUUUAUUUAUGUUGCCUAGCAGUUUUGGAUUUUAAUUUUACUAUUAUAGGUGAACAUAUAGGUGCAUAUAUACGUGCAUAUAUGUAUGUGUACAUAUAUGUGUAAAUAUAUGUGUGCAUAUAUGUACAUAUAAUAUAGGAAAACGGCCAAUUGUAUAUAUGUCACAUAUAUUAAAAACCUAUAUCAAAACCUAUAUUGAAACAUAUGUUUAUAUAGGUUUUUCCAUGUGGGAAUAGUUUCAUGCUGUUUGUGGACUGUUUUUUAUUAUUAUUAUUUUACAGUGAUGGACCUGAUGGGCUGACAGCUGCCGACAUAGUGUCAAAUCUGUCACAUAAUCUUAACAAAACAUCCUGUAGCAGAUUUAACAUUAACCGGGCGAAUGUCUGGGAUGGUGCCUGAAGAGGUUUCAGGAGAUCCUGGUUUGACCCCCACCUGCAGCUUAAUGGUGAAAUUCACAGAUGAUGCUGGGCUGAUGGAAGAGGCUUUAGACAGUGGGGGGCUACUCCAGAAUUUCUGACUCUGUUGAUGGACACCAUCAAAACAAGGAGAGGAUUUGAAGGCAAAGACAAUGCCAAAUACAUCUCAUUUGAUCGUAAAGCUGCAGAAGACGACGAAUAUUUCCACAUUGGAAGAAUGAUCACAGUGUCCAUUGUCCAUGGCGGUCCAGGGCCUUGUUGUCUUUCCCCAAACUUCUUCCUUUACUUAAUUGGUAAAGUAAAGACAAUUGAGGCCCUCAUUGAGGACAAACCUGAUGAUGAGGUCAAGAAGGCCCUUCUUGAGACUGCUCCAUCACUGAGUGACUUCCAGGAGCUCACAGAAAAAUACUCCAGCGUGCUUCAGACAGCAGACUGCUAUCGAUUCAUGAGGACUCUGGAGGAUAAGAACAAAGUAGUAGAUGAUUACAUUCAGUGGGAUUUCAUCGACCGAAACCAUGUUUUCCUCCAGACGUAUAAUAUUCUACUUGAUCCGUGGACAUGUAAAACAUUUUUUAAUACAGUGUUAAAUAGUUAUUUUACAUUUUAACA